AUUUGGAAACUUCUUACUUGGUAUCUUUGUUGGAGCUUUUGUAUUAUUUGCUGGAUUAAUUGGCUACAUGAAGAUUAAACAGAAAACAAUUGUAGACAAGAAAAGUAAGGACAGAAGAAAAGAUGUUUAUAUGACAUAUAUGACAGACACUGGCAAUAACAAUCCAGUAUAUCAAGAUCUCCAACAUAUUAGGCCAAGGGAAACAAAUCCAAAUCCAGUAUAUCAUGAUAUUAGGGAAACAGUUGACGAUUACAUUACGCCUAUACGUCAAGACAGAAAUGAAACAGAAACAGGUUACUGUACGUCUAUCGUCUAAU